AUUGAACGCUGGCGGCAGGCCUAACACAUGCAAGUCGAGCGAGCGGCGGACGGGUGAGUAAUGUCUGGGAAACUGCCUGAUGGAGGGGGAUAACUACUGGAAACGGUAGCUAAUACCGCAUACCAUCAGAUGUGCCCAGGUGGGGUUAGCUAGUAGGUGGGGUAACGGCUAACCUAGGGGACGAGCCCUAGCUGGUCUGAGAGGAUGACCAGCCCCACUGGAACGGAGACACGGUCCAGACUCCUACGUGUGGCAGCAGUGGGGAUUAUUGCACAAUGUGCGCAAGCCUGAUGCAGCCAUGCCGCGUGGGGGAAGAAGGCCUUCGGGUUGUAAAGCACUUUCAGCGGGGAGGCGUUACCCGAAGAAGAAUCACCGGCUAACUCCGUGCCAUCAGCCGCGGUAAUAC
rnacentral:rRNA from 1 species